rnacentral:rRNA from 1 species
GACGAACGCUGGCGGCGUGCCUAACACAUGCAAGUCGAGCGGGGGGAGUUCUUCGGAACGAACCUAGCGGCGGACGGGUGAGUAACACGUGGGCAACCUGCCUUGAGGAGGGGGAUAACAGGAUGAAAGUCCUGCUAAUACCGCAUAACCCGGUGCUGUCGCAUGAUGGCAUCGGCUAAGGAGCAAUCCGCCUCAAGAUGGGACCGCGGCGCAUUAGCUAGUUGGUGGGGUAACGGCCUACCAAGGCGACGAUGCGUAGCCGACCGGAGAGGGUGAUCGGCCACAUUGGAACGGAGACACGGUCCAGACUCCUACGGGAGGCAGCAGUGGGGAAUAUUGCACAAUGGGCGAAAGCCUGAUGCAGCAACGCCGCGUGAGCGAUGAAGGCCUGCGGGUUGUAAAGCUCUGUCUUCGCUGACGAGAUCUGACGGUAAGCGAGGAGAAAGCCACGGCUAACUACGUG